AGCCAUCCUCUUAUCUUUAUGCCAAGAGAAUUAUGAUAGACUAACCGAUUAUUUAUAUCAGUUAAUGAACGAGCCCAAUGCAAAAAAAAAAAAUAUAUGUUGGGUCUUUGAAAAAGUUCGAAUCAUUUUGAUAAUAAUCAGUUUGAUCUGUUUUACCGAGAAGGUCUACGGUUCGAGUCCGUAUAGCCCUAAACAAAAAUAAAGAAAAUUCAAAU
rnacentral:lncRNA from 1 species